rnacentral:RNase_P_RNA from 1 species
AGAGUGUUCCAGGCGGCCGCUCAGCCGUUGGCUGGGAGGAAAGUCCGAACCGGACCGGGCGCGGUGGUGGAUAACGUCCACCGGGGGUGACCCCAGGGAAAGUGCCACAGAAAAGAUACCGCCCGUCGGCGCUUCGGCGUGGACGGGUAAGGGUGAAAAGGCGAGGUAAGAGCUCACCGCCCCGGCGGCGACGUCGGGGGCACGGCAAACCCCACCGCCGGCAAGGCCAAAUAGGGGACGACCGGGCGCGGAAGCGUCCGGACGAGGCGGCCCGUCUCGUUCGAGUCCCGGGUAGGCCGCACGAGCCUGUCGGCAACGGCGGGCCCAGAUAAAUGGCCGCCCUCCCGAGCGAUCGGGAGACAGAAUUCGGCUUAUGGAACGCUCUCUUU